ACCUGAGUGGCUCAAUUGAUUAAGUGUCUGACUUUGGCUCAGGUCAUGAUCUCACAGUUCCAUGAGUUCGAACCUCAUAUCAGGUU
rnacentral:tRNA from 1 species